rnacentral:rRNA from 1 species
CGGCGGACGGGUGAGUAAUGCAUUGGAACAUGCCUUGAUGUGGGGGAUACCCAGCCGAAAGGUUGGCUAAUACCGCAUGUGACCUCCGGGUCAAAGACGCAAGUCGCAUCAAGAUUGGCCAAUGCCCCAUCAGGUAGUUGGUAGGGUAAUGGCCUACCAAGCCGACGACGGGUAGCUGGUCUGAGAGGAUGGACAGCCACAAGGGAACUGAGACACGGUCCCU